rfam:Cavia porcellus supercont2_8 genomic scaffold, whole genome shotgun sequence.
GGGGAUUUAGCUCAGUGGCAUAAGCACCUGUCUUGCAAGCAGGCGACUGUGAGUUCGAUCCCCG